rnacentral:rRNA from 1 species
UUGCACAAUGGGCGCAAGCCUGAUGCAAGCGUACGCCGCGUGAAGGAUGAAGUAUUUCGGUAUGUAUAUCUUCUAUCAGCAGGGACGAUAAUGACGGUACCUGUUGAGGAAGCUCCGGCUAACUACGUGCCAGCAGCCGCGGUAAUACGUAGGGAGCGAGCGUUGUCCGGAAUUACUGGGUGUAAAGGGAGCGUAGGCGGGAUUGCAAGUCAGGUGUGAAAUGCAGGGGCUCAACCCCUGAACUGCACUUGAAACUGUAGUUCUUGAGUGAAGUAGAGGUAAGCGGAAUUCCUAGUGUAGCGGUGAAAUGCGUAGAUAUUAGGAGGAACAUCAGUGGCGAAGGCGGCUUACUGGGCUUUAACUGACGCUGAGGCUCGAAAGCGUGGGGAGCAAACAGGAUUAGAUACCCUGGUAGUCCACGCCAUAAACGAUGAUUACUAGGUGUGGGGGGAUUGACCCCUUCCGUGCCGCAGCUAACGCAAUAAGUAAUCCACCUGGGGAGUACGACCGCAAGGUUGAAACUCAAAGGAAUUGACGGGGGCCCGCACAAGCAGUGGAGUAUGUGGAUUAAUUCGAAGCAACGCGAAGAACCUUACCAGGUCUUGACAUCGUACGCAUAGCAUAGAGAUAUGUGAAAUCCCUUCGGGGACGUAUAGACAGGUGGUGCAUGGUUGUCGUCAGCUCGUGUCGUGAGAUGUUGGGUUAAGUCCCGCAACGAGCGCAACCCUUACUGUUAGUUGCUACGCAAGAGCACUCUAGCAGGACUGCCGUUGACAAAACGGAGGAAGGUGGGGAUGACGUCAAAUCAUCAUGCCCCUUAUGACCUGGGCCUCACACGUACUACAAUGGCUGCCAACAGAGGGAAGCGAAGCAGUGAUGCAGAGCAAAUCCCCAAAAGCAGUCUUAGUUCGGAUGGCAGGCUGAAACUCCCCUGCAUGAAGUCGGAAUUGCUAGUAAUCGCAGAUCAGCAUGCUGCGGUGAAUACGAGGCCGGGCCUUGCACACACCGCCCGUCAA